rnacentral:pre_miRNA from 1 species
AACUUCAACUGAAAAAGUCAUCAAUAACAAAGUGGUAUAACUCAUCAAGAUCUAUAACUUUAAUUUGGCUUAUUUCUUCAUCCGAUAAAAUGAUUUGUAACAUUGUUCACAAAAUGCACAUAUCUCUUAUAUAGUUUAUAAACAAUAGGAGAGAGAUGUAAAUUUUGUGAAUAAUAUUACUAUCACUUUAUUGGAUGAAGAAAUGACCAAAAUAAAAGUUAUAGAUAUUGAUGAGUUAUACAACUUUGUUGUUGAUGACUUUUUUAGUUGAAAUC